rnacentral:rRNA from 1 species
UACGGAGGGUGCAAGCGUUGUCCGGAUUUAUUGGGUUUAAAGGGUACGUAGGCGGUCUUUUAAGUCUGUGGUGAAAGCCCACCGCUCAACGGUGGAACUGCCAUGGAUACUGGAAGACUUGAGUGCCGUAGAGGUAAGCGGAAUUGAUGGUGUAGCGGUGAAAUGCAUAGAUACCAUCAAGAACACCAAUAGUGAAGACAGCUUACUGGACGGUCACUGACGCUGAGGUACGAAAGCGUGGGUAGCGAAC